AUGAAGACAAGAAAAGAAAAUCACCAACAGCGUACUUUCAGUGUGACACUGCCAACCCAGCCCCCACUCUGGAAACACCCUUGUUGGUGGUUAUAUUAAAUUAAACAAAUGCUGUCUGAUACUUUCAGUCCAUCCAUUAGAGGUCUGGAUGAUGUAAAUCUUAUACCAUCAUCUGUUUGUAGGAUGGGAAGCAGGUAGAAGGAUCAUGUAUAUUAUUAUUUAAUUCAUCAAGAUUAUACAGGAAAUAUAACAAAGACCAGUUUGUUUCAAUGUUUUUAAUUUCACACAAGACAAGACAGAACAGUUCACUCACAAAUCACAUUAAUUCAAUUCAAUUUUAUUUGUAAAGCACAAAUUCAUAACAGAAGUUAUCUCAGGACACAAAUAGAGCAGGUCUAGACCGAACUCCUUCUAACAUUAUUUAUAGAGAUCCAACCGGUCCCACCAUGAGCAAGACCUUGGAGACAGCGGCAAGGAAAAACUUCCUUUUAAGAAGAAGAAACCUCGGACUGACCCCGACUCUAGGUGGGUGGCAGUCUGCCUCGACCAUUACCAUUACAGUAGUAGAAAAAAUAUAUAAAGAAGUUUAAUAAGAAAUAAAGCCUUUAGGUUACAUAUGAGACGGAUGGCGUAUAGAGAGGUGAGUUUUCAAGCACAAAUUGAUCGGUUUGUGCUUUUCAUUGGUUCUUCAUGUCAGCGCUUCCUGGCACAGACUGAUGGGAGGGACCCGUCACACCAAAAGUCAUCCCAGCAUUUCUGAUCU